UGGGGGAUAUUGCACAAUGGGCGCAAGCCUGAUGCAGCAACGCCGCGUGAGGGAAGAAGGUCUUCGGAUUGUAAACCUUUGUCUUAUGGGACGAAACAAAUGACGGUACCAUAGGAGGAAGCCACGGCUAACUACGUGCCAGCAGCCGCGGUAAUACGUAGGUGGCGAGCGUUGUCCGGAAUUACUGGGUGUAAAGGGCGUGUAGGCGGCAUAUUAAGUCAGAUGUGAAAUUUCCGGGCUUAACCCGGGGGCUGCAUUUGAAACUGAUGUGCUUGAGUGCAGGAGAGGAAAGCGGAAUUCCUAGUGUAGCGGUGAAAUGCGUAGAUAUUAGGAGGAACACCAGUGGCGAAGGCGGCUUUCUGGACUGUAACUGACGCUGAUACGC
rnacentral:rRNA from 1 species